UUCACAUAUUGGAUUAAAAUAUAACUACAAAAUAAAUGAAGUAAUCAAGUUAAUCGCAAAGAAGUGGAAAAAAUCUAUUUUGACUUACUGCACUUUAUAACUUUCACAUAACACAUUAUGAUUCCAAAUCAGAAUUUGAAUAUGCCAUAGUGAAAUAUAUUUUCACUUACAAUUUGGAAGAUCCUCUAUGUUAAAAUGAUAUUCAUACCGAUAUUUCCAAUUGCAUUUCAAAAUACCAAUAUUUUGUUAACAGUGAAAAAUAAAUUAACGCUUCACAUAUCGGAUUAAAAUAUGACUACAAAAUAAAUUAAGUAAUCAAGUUAAUUGCAAAGGAGUGGAAAAAAAAUCUAUUUGGACUACUGCAC
rnacentral:lncRNA from 1 species